AAGGAUCAUUACCUAGAGUUGUAGGCUUUGCCUGCUAUCUCUUACCCAUGUCUUUUGAGUACCUUACGUUUCCUCGGUGGGUUCGCCCACCGAUUGGACAAAUUUAAACCCUUUGCAGUUGAAAUCAGCGUCUGAAAAAACUUAAUAGUUACAACUUUCAACAACGGAUCUCUUGGUUCUGGCAUCGAUGAAGAACGCAGCGAAAUGCGAUAAGUAGUGUGAAUUGCAGAAUUCAGUGAAUCAUCGAAUCUUUGAACGCACAUUGCGCCCCUUGGUAUUCCAUGGGGCAUGCCUGUUCGAGCGUCAUUUGUACCUUCAAGCUCUGCUUGGUGUUGGGUGUUUGUCUCCUGUAGACUCGCCUCAAAACAAUUGGCAGCCGGCGUAUUGAUUUCGGAGCGCAGUACAUCUCGCGCUUUGCACUCAUAACGACGACAUCCAAAAGUACAUUUUUACACUCUUGACCUCGGAUCAGGUAGGGAUACCCGCUGAACUUAA
rnacentral:ncRNA from 2 species